GACGAACGCUGGCGGCGUGCUUAACACAUGCAAGUCGAACGGAAAGGCCCUGCUUUUGUGGGGUGCUCGAGUGGCGAACGGGUGAGUAACACGUGAGUAACCUGCCCUUGACUUUGGGAUAACUUCAGGAAACUGGGGCUAAUACCGGAUAGGAGCUCCUGCUGCAUGGUGGGGGUUGGAAAGUUUCGGCGGUUGGGGAUGGACUCGCGGCUUAUCAGCUUGUUGGUGGGGUAGUGGCUUACCAAGGCUUUGACGGGUAGCCGGCCUGAGAGGGUGACCGGCGCCCUUGCGCCUGCGGUACGGCCCAGACUCCUACGGGGGGCAGCGGUGGGGAAUCUGGCACAAUCGGCGGAAGCCUGAUGCAACCACGCCGGGUGCGGGAUGACGGCCUUCGGGUUGUAAACCGCUUUCGCCUGUGACGAAGCGUGAGUGACGGUAAUGGGUAAAGAAGCACCGGCUAACUACGUG
rnacentral:rRNA from 1 species